AGUGAACGCUGGCGGUAGGCCUAACACAUGCAAGUCGAACGGCAGCACAGUAAGAGCUUGCUCUUACGGGUGGCGAGUGGCGGACGGGUGAGGAAUACAUCGGAAUCUACUUUUUCGUGGGGGAUAACGUAGGGAAACUUACGCUAAUACCGCAUACGACCUACGGGUGAAAGCAGGGGAUCUUCGGACCUUGCGCGAUUGAAUGAGCCGAUGUCGGAUUAGCUAGUUGGCGGGGUAAAGGCCCACCAAGGCGACGAUCCGUAGCUGGUCUGAGAGGAUGAUCAGCCACACUGGAACUGAGACACGGUCCAGACUCCUACGGGAGGCAGCAGUGGGGAAUAUUGGACAAUGGGCGCAAGCCUGAUCCAGCCAUACCGCGUGGGUGAAGAAGGCCUUCGGGUUGUAAAGCCCUUUUGUUGGGAAAGAAAAGCAUCAGGUUGAUACCCCGCUGUUCUGACGGUACCCAAAGAAUAAGCACCGGCUAACUUCGUG
rnacentral:rRNA from 1 species